rnacentral:rRNA from 1 species
ACGGAGGGUGCAAGCGUUGUUCGGAAUUAUUGGGCGUAAAGGGCGCGUAGGCGGUAAUGUAAGUCAGAUGUGAAAUACUUCGGCUCAACCGAAGAACUGCAUCUGAAACUGGAUAACUAGAGUACGGGAGAGGGAAGCGGAAUUCCUGGUGUAGGGGUGAAAUCCGUAGAUAUCAGGAGGAACACCGGUGGCGAAGGCGGCUGCCUGGACCGAUAUUGACGCUGAGACGCGAAAGCGUGGGGAGCAAACAG